GAAGGUGAACCUUCUGAAGGAUAUUA
rnacentral:rRNA from 1 species